GUUUAGUUCGUUCAACUUGAUAUAAAAACCGAGGCCAUUCUUGAAAAAUGGUGGUCAAGGCCGCUGUUCGUCUAAUAAAAGCCAACAGACGCCUUCGUACCACAAAAAUACGCGAAGAACAGCCAAGACCAUUCGAUUUUCGAUCAUGGUUUGAUAAAGAAAUGGAUCUGGUGCAGCCAGUACAAGGACCACAUUUUCAACAACUUUUUGCCGUCUGGAUCCCAAAUUUUCGAUGCAAAAUCGAUGAAAACCGAUUGGGCCUUUUGGCUGUCGUUGAAAUUUCCAGCAAUGCAGUUACUUUCCGGUCCCCCUAACGGAAACUAACGCUCUAUAUUAUUUAAUCGAUUGACUGUGUAUAAAUUAUAUAUUUAUACUUUUAUGAAUGUAUACUUGAAAUAAACUGAAAUUUCGACAGGA